ACKGCUCAGUAACACGUAGCCAACCUAACCUUGGGACGGGGACAACCCCGAGAAAUUGGGGCUAAUCCCCGAUAGGCGUGGAGGCCUGGAAUGGUUCUACGCUCAAAGGCACGGCGACCAUGUUUGCCGUGUGCCCAAGGGUGGAGCUGCGGCCGAUCAGGCAGUUGGUGAGGUAACGGCUCACCAAACCUUUGACCGGUAUGGGCCAUGAAAGUGGUAGCCCAGAGAUGUGCACUGAGACAAGGGCACAGGCCCUACGGGGCGCAGCAGGCGCGAAACCUCCACAAUGCACUCACGUGCGAUGGGGUUACCUCGAGUGCAUCCUGAAGAAGGAUGCUUUUCCACUGUAUAACUAGCCGUGGGAAUAAAGGGGGGGCAAGACUGGUGUCAGCCGCCGCGGUAAUACCCGCUCCCCGAGUGGUGAGGACGAUUAUUGGGCUUAAAGCGUCCGUAGCCGGCUCAGCAAGUUUCCCGUUAAAUCCAACGGCUUAACCGUUGGGCCGCGGGAAAUACUACAGAGCUCGGAGGCGGGAGAGGUCGUCGGUAGUCCUGGGGUAGGGGCAAAAUCUUCUGAUCCCAGGAGGACCACCAGUGGCGAAGGCGGAUGACCAGAACGCGCUCGACGGUGAUGGACGAAAGCUGGGGGAGCGAACCGGAUUAGAUAUGGAUCGAGGCAAGGCCCUCAUCCACUGAAGACCCGGGUAGUCCCAGCUGUAAACUAUGCAGGCUAUGUGUCGGGGCGGCCACGAGCUGUCCCGGUGCCGCAGGGAAACCAUUAAGCCUGCCGCCUGGGGAGUACGGCCGCAAGGCUGAAUUACGGAGCCUCUUAGAUUAUAGUAG
rnacentral:rRNA from 1 species